GCAACCCUACCUCUCACGAAGGCGAAAGCAAGGCGGGGCUAUAAAAGGUCGGUAAAUUACUGCAAGAAAUGUAUCGGCCAGGACCCCGCGCAGGUAACCGAAAGAGAGAGGAUUCUGAUUAAGAUGAACCUCAAGGUAAUUGCAAAGUUCGAAAAGAACUACCCGCAUUUACCAAGCUGUUCUCCUAAUCAGGUUCUUCUAGCUCUCCUACCGUCUGCUAUCAAUAGUAGGGUGGACCCACCCGUGGUUCUGUUGAGAAACCAGUGCCCGUGAUAGCCGCAGCCUCGGCAGUCCCAAAGGAAGCUGACAACUCUUCACACUCAGCGUUAAAGAGAGGUCGAUCUACGGAGGAACCAUACCCUGAGGCCAAGAAGGCUUCUACGGCCCCGGCUUCUCAGCCUACACCUAUAACUUCCACUCCGUCCGUCAGCAAGUCGAUCGUGACCAAACCGUCCCUUCAAGCUCUAAGCCUUAUAAGGACCACAAGGGGGAGGUGAAGUCACAACCGGCAAGCCAAACAGGACGUAAGAGGACCAUCUACCCGGACAAUCUUCGAGUAGCAAUCAUCGACAAGGUUGAACCGGAAGGUAAAAUCAGCGACAGCCGAUGGCUAUUAUUCGAAGAUCGACUGAGAGGGCUUGUUUUUACGGAAGAGGGUGACCCGAAAAGAAUGUAGUUUGGCAGCGCAACCCUUUACAAGGGCGUAAAAGUCAUGUGCUGUGAAAACCAGGAUUACCUAGUCACUGCAGUAUCUGGAUUUCGCGAUCUCUGGUGUCCUUAAAGAACAUCCCCUGCCGUAAGGUAUUGACAGCUUGGGUGCCACCACCAUCCGUGGACUAGGGAGUGGGCAGUACGUCUCUUACGCGGUCUCCAAUGGUGAUAAGUGGAGGAGACGUUACGGUGGCGGGAAUGGAUUCUAAAUCCGGGAGGGUUCUCAUUUUCAUCUCUCUCUACCUACCGUACGAGCGACCUGACCCACCUGGCCACGAAGUAGAGGAGCUGCUCAAAGAUCUGGCUGACAAAGGGCAUCUAAUUAUAGGUUGUGAUGCCAAUGCACACCACUUCCAAUGGGGCAGAAACGAUACCAUUGUCAGAGGGAAAUUACUGCAAACAAUCUCGGACCUAAUGCAAGGAGCUCUAGCCACCCUAUUACGGUGGGCGCGUCGCAAUGGAUUAGGCGUGAACCCAUCAAAGAAAGAGCUCGCCCUUUUCACUAAAAAACGUAAAUAUCCUUCAUUUACACCACCGAGACUAGAUGGAGUCACUUUAAACCUCUAACCAGAAGCCAAAUACCUUGGCACUAUCCUUGACCGCCAAUUAAGUUGGAAGAGGAACACUGAGGAACGAGCUAAGAGAGGC